CCAAUAGCGUAUAUUAAAGUUGUUGUGGUUAAAAAGCUCGUAGUUGAACCUUGGGCCUGGCUGGCCGGUCCGCCUCACCGCGUGCACUGGUCCGGCCGGGCCUUUCCCUCUGUGGAACCCCAUGCCCUUCACUGGGUGUGGCGGGGAAACAGGACUUUUACUUUGAAAAAAUUAGAGUGCUCCAGGCAGGCCUAUGCUCGAAUACAUUAGCAUGGAAUAAUAGGAUAGGACGCGCGGUUCUAUUUUGUUGGUUUCUAGGACCGCCGUAAUGAUUAAUAGGGACAGUCGGGGGCGUCAGUAUUCAAUAGUCAGAGGUGAAAUUCUUGGAUUUAUUGAAGACUAACUACUGCGAAAGCAUUCGCCAAGGAUGUUUUCAUUAAUCAGGAACGAAAGUUAGGGGAUCGAAGACGAUCAGAUACCGUCGUAGUCUUAACCAUAAACUAUGCCGACUAGGGAUCGGGCGAUGUUAUUUUUUGACUCGCUCGGCACCUUACG
rnacentral:rRNA from 1 species